AUGUCUAAAUUUUCACAAAUUAGGUACCUUUCAGAAAAACCUAGACAGACCCCUGUAUAUGAUAGUGCAUGCAAUAAUGUUGAUACUUUUGUUUCUUUAAAAUUAAAUUAACAUAAUUUCUGGAAUUGAUCUUAAAAGAUGUUAUUAAAUAUUUUUAUAUCAAUGUUCUAAUUUGUAUGUUAAGUUUUUAUAAUAGUUAAGUCCUUUUAUUGUUUUUUGUUUAAAUUGGCUUAUUUCAAAAGUGGCAAAGCAUUGCUCAGAUAAAACAAGAUUGUUUGUAAGAUGAAAAUUAUUCUUGCUUAGAUAUCUUUCAACUGUAUUGAGUAAUAAUGUAUUUACCCUUGCAAAUCAAGAAAAUAGUUACUGGGUUUUGUUUCCAUACGAAAUGUGAGAAUAUCGCUCAUAAUAUUAGAAUAAUAAAAUUACAAGUUAUAUACAUUUGUUAUUAUUAAAAGUAUCUUGCAGAAGGAUAUUAGUGCUAGAGAGUUUUGUCACAGAAAACCCGAAUAAAUUUGGUCACAGGCGUUACCAGAAAUUAUAGUAGUUAGUGUUUCAAGCGGGUUUAGGCUAUUUUGAGAUGCAGAGGCAGUCCUGUAAUUAAUGUUUGCUGUUUAUUUGACAUGAGCAGAAGUGUGACAUGGAAUGUUUGGGUAUCUGUGCAAGGGAUCUAACAAGAGAUAUCUAACAAGUUUUCUAUCUUGUUUGCAUCCUGGGGGGGGGGAUAAUUUUUUCUGACAAAUUCGAUAUAUUUAGCCAUCUAUUCAAUAAUCUGUUCUUUAAUCUAAUUCAACAAUUGUGCUAAUAAUCCAUUUUAAUCUUUAUUAACUCUUUUGUUUAUUUUUUCUUUCAGAUUUCUGUAUUGAGAUAAGUGCAGGCUAACAUGCCUUAAAGAUCAUUAAGAUUUUUUACUUCUUAAUGAAAGACGUAAAUUAUUUCAAACCUUUCUAUAACAAUUUCAUUUACCUACCCUCUGUUUUAUCCUUUACUAUUGCCUUGAUUAUUUUUCUUUCAGAUUUCUAAAAAAAUCCAUAGUUCCAAGAGUUUCUGAAAAAAUCCAUAUAAUGUUCAUCCUUGUUAUUUUUUCAUUAGUUAAAAAAUAUAAUUAAAAUAUAAUUCUUUUCAUUCUAGGUGAAAUAAAAAAGUUAUGAGUUUUAUUGAAUUAAAUGAAAACAACUACUAACCUUUUUCUUGAUUUUUUUUAUUCUGAAUUUACCUAAAAUUAGAUCAGUUCAAUUGUUUCAAAUGGUUCUGAAAGCUUUAUUUACUAUGUAUUUUUCCUGUUUUCCU
rnacentral:misc_RNA from 1 species